UUGUGUUUGAAAGACUACUUCACAAUCUGAACAGUGAUGGCACAUAUUGUGGUUAAGAGUUGCUCAGUGGACCAUGGAUUGACUGAACUGUAUCCAUUUCCAUCAUGAUGUACACCACUAAGGCUCUUUACUACACCUGUGUUCUGAUUAGAGGCCAAAUAAAUGACAUUUGGAACUUCUGCUAAGGUACGCUAAGGUAAGAUCUUUUUUUGAGUUAAAGUCUUUGCUUUAAAAAAAAGAGUUUAUACCUUGAUCUGUAAGAACAGAUUAAUGAGGAAUAGGAAUUUCUAAGUUUGUGUUUUUCAAUACAGUUUAUAAUUGCUACUGUGUGCAUCUUAAUAUAAAUAUAGUCAUGCUCU
rnacentral:lncRNA from 1 species